CGUGACAGGAGCGGGCGCAAUGACAGGCUAUGAGCAAACGUUUAUUAUGAACGCUCAAGCAGGAAAGCACGGCAAUGUCCUUUGAUGUGUGUCCUGGUAGGCAGUGUUGUGCUGAGGGCUCAUGGUAAUGAACCAAUGCGGCUCCUGCAGGUGAAGAUCUGCACAGACGUUGUCAUCAAUCACACAUGUGCAUCGGGCUGAGGGGAAAGAAGGCACUCGACCUGCGGCUCGUACUUCAAUGCCACCCGUGAGGAGUUCCCAUCUGUGAGAUACUCUGCCACUGACUUCAAUGAUGACAAAUGCGCCGGCCGCCGUGGAAAUAUUGAGAAUUACCAAGACAUUUAUCAGGUAUAAUUUCAAAAGGGAGAAAAGGGCCCUUGUUGGGAAUGCCAUUGGACACAGAAAAUGGAAUAGUUAUUUUCUCAUUUAGGCAAUGCGAUCAAGAGUGUUUGAAUAUCAGAUGGGCUUCAUAUGGCCUGACAUAAUCAUGUUCAGAACAAUAACUAUAAUAAAGAAAUUUUUAAAAGUCAUUCUGAAUU
rnacentral:lncRNA from 1 species